ACGAACGCUGGCGGCAGGCUUAACACAUGCAAGUCGAACGCACCUUUCGGGGUGAGUGGCAGACGGGUGAGUAACGCGUGGGAAUCUACCCUUCUCUACGGGAUAGCUCCGGGAAACUGGAAUUAAUACCGUAUACGUCCUGAGGGAGAAAGAUUUAUCGGGGAAGGAUGAGCCCGCGUUGGAUUAGCUAGUUGGUGGGGUAAAGGCCUACCAAGGCGACGAUCCAUAGCUGGUCUAAGAGGAUGAUCAGCCACAUUGGGACUGAGACACGGCCCAAACUCCUACGGGAGGCAGCAGUGGGGAAUAUUGGACAAUGGGCGCAAGCCUGAUCCAGCCAUGCCGCGUGAGUGAUGAAGGCCCUAGGGUUGUAAAGCUCUUUCAGUGGGGACGAUAAUGACGGUACCCACAGAAGAAGCCCCGGCUAACUUCGU
rnacentral:rRNA from 1 species